ACAGAAAGUUCUUUGUUUCAGUCGAUAAUGGAAUUAGAAUUCCAAUAGCUAUAGAAGUUGUUAUCACUUUCUUUAUAAUCUCUUCAAUGCUGGAACUGUGUGGUUGGAUAGACAUAUUUCUGCAGCCAUUCUUGGUAGGUUCAUUAUAAAGAUAAAGAGCUCAUGGGGUCCUGAGCAGUAUUUGUCCUGGCAUGGAAUAUAGAGAGAUGUUUAAAAGGCAGAGUUGAGGAUAUGCAUGCAUCCUUUGGUAAAUAAACUGUAUUGAUGUCAAUAUCAGCAUUUAUUUGUGGACAAUAAACUUUCUAGAUGUCCUAGUUCUCUUAUUCCCUGCAUCUCUCUUUUUUCUUUCUUUUUUAAAUAAAAGAAAAAAGCAAACUUUUAC
rnacentral:lncRNA from 1 species